rnacentral:misc_RNA from 1 species
GUAGGUGAACCUGCGGAAGGAUCAUUAACAAAUAUUAUAAAAAUUAUUGUUAUAAUUCACCCAUUUUUAUGUGAACCUUUGAUAAAACUGUGAAAUUGCUCUGGUAUUUUUUGGUUUUGAACUUGUAGUUCAAUUUGAAUUGCCUACCAGUAGUUUUUUUUAAAAAAUUAUUAAUUUACUAUUUUUAAGUUUAAUUUAUAUCUAUUUUUCUAUUGAAAUUUUUUACAUAUUUUUUAUGUUUAAAAUGACA